rnacentral:rRNA from 1 species
UUAAAUGAAUUGACGGGGCCCGCACAAGCGGUGGAGCAUGUGGUUAAUUCGACGCAACGCGAAGAACCUUACCAGGGCUUGACAUCCCCUGACCGCGUAUGAAAGUACGUUUUCACCCUCGGGUGACAGGGAGACAGGUGGCGCAUGGUUGUCGUCAGCUCGUGUCGUGAGAUGUUGGGUUAAGUCCCGCAACGAGCGCAACCCCUACGUUUAGUUGCUAACGCGUGAAGGCGAGCACUCUAGACGAACUGCCGUUGACAAAACGGAGGAAGGUGGGGAUGACGUCAAAUCAUCAUGCCCCUUAUGUUCUGGGCUACACACGUGCUACAAUGGCCGGUACAGACGGACGCAAAGCCGCGAGGUGGAGCAAAUCCUAAAAAGCCGGUCUCAGUUCGGAUUGCAGGCUGCAAUUCGCCUGCAUGAAGUCGGAAUCGCUAGUAAUCGCAGGUCAGCAUACUGCGGUGAAUACGUUCCCGGGCCUU